UAUAAAGUUUGGCUUUUAUGAAUAAUCAUGCAAUGAACAUUUGCCUACAAGUCUUUGUAUAGAUACUUGAUUUUAUUUCUCUUGGAUAGACACUUCAGAGUGGAAUUACUGGUUUGUAUGGAAAAUCCUUCAAUGAAUGCCUUCACAUAGGCUAAAAAGCCUUGUCAGGGGCGGUGACAGUUCUCUUGAUUACAUCCCAGUCCUGAUGACCCACACUCAGCUCUUGUGACACUGUCCAUACAUGCAGCCAGCAUCACUGUGGCUACCUGGGUGCUAGAGAUACCAGAUGAAGAAGCUCCCACCUACUGCCCUGGUCUAGCAGUGAAGAAAGACAAGGUACAGAUCUUGGGACAAACACCCACAGAAGCCUUUAUAAAAGUCUGCGAGGCGCUUUGGGAGCUUCUUUGAGGAGGCUCAAUGUUGCUUACUGAGAACUCCACCCUGGAUUCUUGAGAAGAAAGGCCAGAGUUACCAUCUUUGCUCUGACAUACAAGAGCUUAUGAGCAGCAAUCCUGAAGCCUGCAGCCUGAAGACCUUCCUGUAGGGCUCAGGGACCCAAGAGUGAGCAGAAAGCUGCCUUCACAGACUGGUCUCUGAUGUAUUUACUGCCCAACACAAGCAAGGCCCAUGGUGGGUGGGAGAGAAGGGGGUCUUCUGCAAAGAUGUGUAAGAUGAAAUGCCUUCUCUUAGAGGCUUGCUACCUCAUUGGAGGAAACUCACUAAAGAUCAUAGGACCAUAGAUUGUCUAAGCUGGAAGGAACCUAAAAGGACUACAGAGAUGCUGUUUUAAAGAAAUUAGCAGUAGUCUUCCUUUGGAAGUAAAAAUGAGUGCCUGCUGUAAUUCAUGGUGAGAAGUCAGGCAUCCAGUGGUGUCAAAGCUAGAAGAUCCAUGCUGGUCAGGCAAAGGUACCUGAAGGUGUCAAUCCUGCAAGGUUGUCCUGUGCUCUCCAUUUACCAUUCAGCCCCUCACAAUGUCUUGGAUAGUGACUCAGAGAUAUCACAGAAGAGUUAAGGUUGAAAGGAAAGAUCUCUUCAGGAGCGACGACAAGAGAAGGAAAAACUAUUUGGACUUCCUUAUCCAGAGUCAAUGGUCACUAAGACUGAAAGGGUUGCAUGUGAUUAUUUGGGAGAAGAAGAAGGAUGAUGAGAAAAAGGGAAACUAACAAUUAUUGAGCACCUAGCAUGG